rnacentral:misc_RNA from 1 species
CGAGAGUGAAAACUCCCUAAACCAACUGUUUAUCUACCUGUUUGUUGCUUCGGCAGGCGGUUCCCUCAGGGGGGCUGUACCUGAAAAGGCGCCUGCCGAAGGCACCCAGAACUCUUGCUGUCAGUUGUCAUCUGAGCUAAAACAAAAAUGAAUCA